GCUCAGACCAGGACUCCCCUUUCGCUCGUAGGCCCCUCCCAGACACGCGUGAGAGUGGGGAUCCGCUAGAAGAGCCUCAGUUGCACGGGACCGCACGAGCAUCGUUGGAUCCCGGGAGGACCGGAGAGAGAGAGACGCUACCGCGGGACCGGAGUUGUGUUCAGCUGUAGGCUGAAGGAUGUUCUCCUCGGUGAAGGCCUUUGAGGGGCAGCAGUACUCCACCCUCAAGAGGCAGUGUCUACAGAGUGGAGUGUUGUUUGAGGACCCACUGUUUCCAGCUGUAGAUGACUCACUAUUCUACCAGGGUAACAGGAUCGGCCGUGUGCACUGGAAAAGACCUGGGGAGCUAUGCGAUGAUCCUCACUUGUUUGUGGAUGGGAUCAGCGCCCAUGACCUGCAUCAAGGGCAGCUGGGAAACUGCUGGUUUGUGGCGGCCUGCUCCAGCUUGGCUUCCCGAGAAUCCUUGUGGCAGAAAGUUAUCCCAGACUGGAAAGACCAGGAAUGGGAUACGGAGAAGGCAGACUCCUAUGCCGGAAUUUUCCACUUCCGCUUCUGGCGGUUUGGCGAAUGGGUGGACGUGGUGAUAGAUGACCGUCUUCCCACAGUGGAUAAUCAGCUGGUGUACUGCCAUUCAAACGACAGCAAUGAGUUCUGGAGUGCCCUUGUAGAAAAGGCAUAUGCCAAAGUUUAUGGUUGCUAUGAAGCUCUGGAUGGUGGAAACACAGCCGAUGCUCUAGUGGACUUUACUGGUGGAGUGUCAGAGCCCAUGGAUCUCUUGGAGGGCCAGUUUGCUCAGGAUGAAGUUGCCAGAAACCAGCUGUUCGAGAGAGUGCUCAAGGUCCACAAUCGAGAUGGUCUCAUCAGUUGCUCUAUCAGGGCAACCACUGUGGAGGAUAUGGAGGCUAGAUUGGAAUGUGGCCUGGUUAAAGGCCAUGCCUAUGCAGUGACGGAUGUUCGCAAGGUCCGCCUGGGACAUGGCCUGCUGGCCUACUUUAAGUCAGCGAAGCUACAGAUGAUCCGCAUGAGGAAUCCCUGGGGGGAGAAAGAGUGGAGUGGACCCUGGAGUGAUAGCUCAGAAGAGUGGAAGAAGGUGAGCAAGAGUGAGAGAGAGAAGCUUGGCGUCACCGUUCAAGACGAUGGAGAGUUUUGGAUGAACUUUGAAGAUUUCUGUCACUACUUUACCGACCUGAUUCUGUGUCGAUUGAUAAACACAUCCUACUUGAGCAUUCACAAGACCUGGGAAGAAGAGGUAAUGAGGGGCUCCUGGGUCCAUCGAGACGAGCCUCUCCGUAACCGCGCGGGAGGCUGUAUUAACCAUAAAGCCACAUUUCUACAAAACCCACAGUAUGUUUUUGAUGUGAGAAAAGUGGAGGACGAGGUGCUAAUCUGCCUGCAGCAAAAGGAACGCAGAGCAACUCCCAAAGAGGGCAAAGGCGAGAAUCUGGCCAUUGGAUUUGACAUUCACAGGGUGGAGUUGAAUAGAAAAUACAGAAUGCACUCAGCUCAGCAGAAGGUCGCAGGUUCAAUCUACAUCAACUCUCGCUGUGUCUUUCUAAGAAAAGAGCUAAAGGAGGGGCGUUACGUCAUUAUCCCCACAACCUUUGACCCCGGUCAAAAAGGAGAGUUCCUGCUCCGUGUCUUCACUGACGUGCCUUCAGACUGCAAAGAGUUAACUCUAGAUGAGCCUCCACAGACAUGCUGGACGGGUAUGUGUGGUUACCCUCAGCUGGUCACACAGGUGCAUGUGCUAAGUGCCGAAGGCCUCGAGGGCCAAGACUCCAAUGGAGCUUCUGACCCGUACGUGAUCAUUACCUGUGAGGGGGAGAAGGUCCGCUCUCCCGUGCACAAAGACACACGCUGCCCAAAUUUUGACAUCAAGGGAAUAUUCUACCGCAAAAAGCCAAAGGAAGGCAUUCACAUUGAGAUCUACAAUAAGAAUGUGAUUGUUGACACCUUCCUGGGUCAGGUGACUCUCUUUAGUGACCCAAACGACCGUCAAGAGCAGCACACAGUCCACCUAAAAGACAAGGGCAGUCAUCAAGACAACAACCUACCCGGCACGCUGACUGUGCGUGUUAUCACCUGCACCACUUUAAUCAACAUCUGAUCAUAAACUAAACAUGACCUCAUGCUUCCCAUCAUUUCACACACUCUGCCUGGGUUCCUCAUCUAUGUAUCACGUUACACACGAUGCCUUGUUUCCCCUCAAGAUGUGGAGUGACGCGGAGAUCCACCCGAUUACAGAGACUUUGACCUUUAGCAAGACCUGAUCAUCUCUUAUCUCGCUGAGUUCUGCCGAAUCUCCACACGCGAUGACUCCAGCUCCGCUGUGCCACACCAGACACAUCUUCAGAUUCUCUGCGUCACAUUGCUUAGCAACAGAAGUCUGGAGCUUACUGGAGCACAGAGAUUGAUUCUCACAGUACCGAAAGCCCACCUAGACUAUCUGCAGUGCUAUUUUAACAAUGACGCAAUUUCCGAAGGGCACAAUUUGAUGUAGCCUAACAACGUCUGUGUUGUUUGAUGAAAGUUACACCUUUGUCUUGGGGUUUAAUAGAGAGCAGGUGUGUGUUAGGGUGACCAGAUGUCCCAGUCCCAUACAGUAUGAACCUAUAAUUUUGGUCCAAUAUUUCGCUUUUUUGAUUGCUAUAAAGUAUUUAAAUGUUAUUAUUUUUGGUUUUUGGUAUCCAAAUAAAUCUAAGCACUAGUCAACGUGAACAAUAUGUACCUGUAGCUCAAUUAGUAGAGAAUUGCAUUAGCAGGUCAUCGGUUUAUUUUCCAGGGAACACACAUACUAAUAAAUUGUAUACCUUGAAUGCACUGUAAGUUGCUUUGGAUAAAAUGCAUAAUUUUUUUACCGUGGUCAUCUGGUCACCCCAGCGCGCGUGUGUGUGUGUGUUAUCCGCUCAAGCAUAACCUAAAGACCAUUAGGAGGUUAUGCAUGUGUAAAUCAAAAGGAAAACUGUCAGUCUCAGCAGUGCCUAAAGGUUGAAGAUCAGAUCUUUGGACCCACAGAUUAUUCUCUGGCUACACGUCACUCUUGCUUUGAGGAUUGUGAGACUUUAAAUAACAGUUUGUCUGUCUUUAUAGUCAGACUCCUGCCAAACAGCAUGUGCCAUUGUGUUGAACUGCUGCACGAUUCAAUUCAUGGACAUUCUGGAGGAGAAGUCCCGUAUCUCCUGACUUUUCCUGACUAUGAUAAAUGUCAUGUUACUUACAGACUCAUGGUGACUGUCAUCACCAGCGUUGUGUCCUUUCAAUGGCUACUUGUGCCGUUUCACCAGUGCUACAGCACUACAAUGUUCUGUCUAUGCUUUAUGACAAGAUUUCAGUUACCAUGUGAUUUUUGAUCAGCAUUUUUAACGGUUGGAUAUGUUUUAGCAUCCUCUAAUUUGUCUUUAACCCUUUCAUGUCAGCUAUACUGUAAGAAAAUAUUUUUCAUAGUAUGUCUAGUAUGUUGUCACAAGCCUCUUGCAGUUUUUAUAUUUUGUGUCAAAAAUGUAGUGCACUGAUACGAAUGAGUAGGCUGAAUGCCCAGUCAGAUAGUAAAAGGCAGGAAAAAUCUGAGAGAGAGAGAAAGAGAGAGAGUACCGUGUUUUCUGCAGCUAACAAUGCAGUGCCAAUCAGAUUAACAGUGUUGGAUGACAAGAAUUUAAGAAGCCUUCAUGCCCACCAGAUUGGCCUUUGGCUAAAUGUGGCACAUCUGCAUCUGAGACGGCUUGAUUUUUUUAGGGAUGAAUAAAGCUUUGAUUCGAUUUGAGCUUGUUUAGAGCUGGAUUGAAAUGAAAUCCUCAGCACUGAUCCUCAUAGGCCAAAUUAUAAGAGUUAAAUAGAGGAUUAAGAAAGUCGAAUUUAUUUUAUGUGUAUGAAUUUUAUGGACAAAAUGGUUAAGAAAGCAAGCGUUACUGAGCAGACUGUAAAAAUAUUUGUUGGUUCAACUUAAAAAGUACCCAGCCCCUAAGGGGACAUGGAGCAAAAAUUAAAUAAAGUUUAGUUUCGCGUGCUCACGUGAAACUUUCGCGUGCUCACGUGAAACUUUCGCGUGCUCACAUUUGAAACUAUCGUGUGCGCACGUUAAAAUUUCGCUAAACUUAAAAAAAUUCUGCACAUGAAGGUUUCGCGUGAGCACAUGAAAGUUUUACGUGAGCACAUGAAACUAAACUUGUGAAACUAUUGCGCGCGCAAGUGAAACUAUCUCGUGUGCAUGUGAAAGCGAAAGGUUUUUAGAUUUUUUUUACUCCAAUGUCACCUUAGGGGCUCUGUAAAAAAGUAAGUUACUGCUUACCUUCAAAUUUUGAGUUCAUUCAAUUUAAAAAUAUUAGUUGACUCAAAAAAUUGUUGUGUAUAGUUUUUUAGUUGAAUUAACUCAAAAUUUGAAGGCAACCAGGUAAUUUUUUUUUUACUCUAAACCAACUUUUUAUACAGUGUAGGUAUUUUAUUUAUAUAUAAUGAGUAAAAAAACACUCUUUACUGCUUCUUGGACAAUAGAGAAGGCUGCAAUUUUUAAACUGAAUUAAUCUAAAUAAAUAGCCUUAAAUAUUUUCUUUUCAGCUUUGGAAGGUUGUACACUAAACCACUUUAUUAUUCUUUUCCUAUACUUCAUCUAAAGUUUACUCUAUGUAUGUUUUUUCUUUUUUUUGGCUUAUUGAGAAUGCUGUGAAAAAUACCACUGUGCCAUUUAGAGCCAAAUGCAUUAUAUUUUUUUCUCUAUUUUGCCAAAUAACAAGUUAUCAUUUUUGUUAAAGUUCCAGUGCUUUUAAUGCCAAACAUAUUCUGAUUGUUAUGUUUCUGUUUUGUUUGUUGUUAACAGUAUUUGUGGUUUAAAACAAAGCUAAUUUAAAUCGUAUGCCAAAAAAAAAUGACAUAAAUGGGGCAUACUUCAGAUUUUUUAGCAUUAGUAUCUGGAUUUUAAUGCUGCUGCCAUAUGGAGGCGUAUUGCGCUGCAUGCUUUUAUUUGUUUACAAACCUAGAUUGCUUAACCUUCUACGCUGUUCGCCCAGGUAUUUUGCAAAGUAAACAUAUUUGCAUAGGCUCGCUGGAAGCCCAGUUUUACCAGUGCGUCAUUUUGCAUAAUUUUAAUAUUAUUUUUAGGUUUCACCAUGCAUUGCGUCUUUGGAGAUUUUUACAUGCUUGUAAUCACAAGACAAGCUUAAAUCCUCUCUCUCUUGCACUGAUCUCAUUGAAUGGCAUCAUAUGAUUCAUACUGUAUUGAAUGGCAUUCCUGUUACUUGCAGCCUGUGAUCGAUGACAUGGCGUUAUUUGCUCUAAUGUGAUGUACUGGCUCUUUGGCCUUGACUGCUGCAUGUACUUUGGCUGAGUGAAUCUUCUACUCCAACAUAUGCCGUCACAAAUCCUGUCCUGUUUGACUUUCUAGGCAUCUUGGUAGCAUACAGCCUUAAGAACCAGUGAAUGCUUGUGGAGAGGGUCAAUUUAAUCUCUCUUUGUCCUUUUGAUUUUUUUGACAAGGGUCAGACGUUCAGAGAAUGAGCUUGUGAUACUCUUGUAUUUUUUCUGAUGAUGUUUAAAAUGACUUUAAAAUGACGUGUAUAUAUAUAUAUAUAUAUACAUAGAAAAAUAUUAAUAUCUUGCAUGGUAUCAUUCUAUAAAACAUUGCUGGUAUUAUCUUUAUAAUGAGUAUCUUUUAUCAGCAUUUUAUACACCUUUGUUUACUGUUUUAUAUCUAGCCACUAAAUCUUAUGUUAAAAAAAAACAAAUGGACAGACAGACUGAAACUAUAUACUGUAUCUUUAUUGAUUGUAGGAUUUUAGUAUGUUAUCUCUGUUUAUAUUUGUGUUAGAUUUUUCGUGUACGUCUCUCCUGGGUUACACUGUGGUGAUUUGAUAUACUUGUUUGAAGUACUUGAAGUACUUUUUUCUUUUGUAUUUUGUCAACUUGUGGCAUGACUUUGAAAUAAAAGAUUGAAAUUCUUACUGCA